rnacentral:rRNA from 1 species
GACGUAGGGCGCGGGCGUUGUCCGGAUUUAUUGGGCGUAAAGAGCUCGUAGGCGGCUUGUUGCGUCAGCUGUGAAAACCCGCAGCUCAACUGUGGGCUUGCAGCUGAUACGGGCAGGCUUGAGUUCGGUAGGGGAGACUGGAAUUCCUGGUGUAGCGGUGGAAUGCGCAGAUAUCAGGAGGAACACCGGUGGCGAAGGCGGGUCUCUGGGCAGUAACUGACGCUGAGAAGCGAAAGCGUGGGGAGCGAACAGG